rnacentral:ncRNA from 2 species
UCGUGAAAUCAGUUCUUCCUUCAUAUAAUUUCGAUAAUAUGGGUCGAAAGUUUCUACCGAAUCACCUUAAAUGAUUGGACUAUGAAGGCAGGUUCUUUGUUG